rnacentral:rRNA from 1 species
AUGUACAUGCCUAUAGCAUUAAUGCAACAAAUCCCAUUAGAAUUCUAUAGUUAAUCACACUUGAGCUAGAGAAGUACUGGGAUAGGUGACCGCCUAGGAAGUCUUAGUGUUUUACAUG